rnacentral:lncRNA from 1 species
AAACCUGGGGCUAGUGAGCCCCUCUGAAGUGAAGAUGCAUACAGAAUAAUAUUUUAGUUUGUAGUAUUAUUGGAAUAUUGUCCAAAAUCAGGAGCUGCCAUCCAGGAAUUUAAUAAGCCAUAGCUUUAAGAGAUUCCUGCAACUUGAGAAAAAUGGACAUGCAUACUGGAUCCUCACAGAAAUAGGAUAUAGGGUAGGAUUUGCAAAUAACGUGUGAGGAGAAGAACCUACAGUGGGCACAUGCACAUUGCUGCAGCUCCUGUUAUGCUGAGGAAGAAGCAACCAGGCAGAAAAUGGGGAAAACAAACAAACAAACAAACGUGAUUCAAUUUUGAACAUCAAAUUCCAUUGAUCAUCCCUAAUGACAACACUUGGACNAUCUGGAAGCUAUGAAUCCUCC